AACGAACGCUGGCGGCAUGCCUAACACAUGCAAGUCGAACGAGAUCUUCGGGUCUAGUGGCGCACGGGUGCGUAACGCGUGGGAAUCUGCCCUUUGGUUCGGAAUAACAGUUGGAAACGACUGCUAAUACCGGAUGAUGACGAAAGUCCAAAGAUUUAUCGCCAGAGGAUGAGCCCGCGUAGGAUUAGCUAGUUGGUGUGGUAAAGGUGCACCAAGGCGACGAUCCUUAGCUGGUCUGAGUGGAUGAUCAGCCACACUGGGACUGAGACACGGCCCAGACUCCUACGGGAGGCAGCAGUGGGGAAUAUUGGACAAUGGGCGAAAGCCUGAUCCAGCAAUGCCGCGUGAGUGAUGAAGGCCUUAGGGUUGUAAAGCUCUUUUACCCGGGAUGAUAAUGACAGUACCGGGAGAAUAAGCUCCGGCUAACUCCGUGCCAGCCGCCGCGGUAA
rnacentral:rRNA from 1 species